CCUACGGGAGGCAGCAGUGGGGAAUAUUGCACAAUGGGGGAAACCCUGAUGCAGCGACGCCGCGUGGGUGAAGAAGUAUUUCGGUAUGUAAAGCCCUAUCAGCAGGGGAGAAAGAGGACGGUACCUGACUAAGAAGCCCCGGCUAACUACGUGCCAGCAGCCGCGGUAAUACGUAGGGGGCAAGCGUUAUCCGGAUUUACUGGGUGUAAAGGGAGCGUAGACGGCAGAUCAAGUCUGGAGUGAAAUCCCGGGGCUCAACCCCGGAGCUGCUCUGGAAACUGAGAAGCUAGAGUACUGGAGAGGCAGGCGGAAUUCCUAGUGUAGCGGUGAAAUGCGUAGAUAUUAGGAGGAACACCAGUGGCGAAGGCGGCCUGCUGGACAGCGACUGACGUUGAGGCUCGAAAGCGUGGGGAGCAAACAGGAUUAGAUACCCCUGUAGUC
rnacentral:rRNA from 1 species